UACGGGGGGGGCAAGCGUUGUUCGGAAUUACUGGGCGUAAAGGGCUCGUAGGCGGCCAACUAAGUCGGACGUGAAAUCCCUCGGCUUAACCGGGGAACUGCGUCCGAUACUGGAUGGCUUGAGUUCGGGAGAGGGAUGCGGAAUUCCAGGUGUAGCGGUGAAAUGCGUAGAUAUCUGGAGGAACACCGGUGGCGAAGGCGGCAUUCUGGACCGAUAUUGACGCUGAGACGCGAAAGCAUGGGGAGCAAACAGG
rnacentral:rRNA from 1 species